GCCGGAGUAAAUUAAAACCGUCUGUCGCUUGAACUUUCGCUUAUUUUGUACGAAUAUGCUCGCUAAGUUGAUUCAUUAGUCGAAUUAUUCAACGUAUGGCGUAUUUUCUAUUUUUAAAAGCAAAGAAAUUCUGAUAUCUUCAUAGCUCUUAGUCGUUGUUCAAUUAUGUAAUCAGACUCUAGUUUCCAAGAUCAAAAUACAAAGAAACACUGCGUGAACAUGAUUUUUUCUUCAUUCCCCAUAUUUUUUCUGGAUCUUUUUCCAUUUUUAAUUGAUCCUCGAUUAUUUGGGCCUCCUCCAUGUCCUGCGAGUUUUUAAAGCCAUGCAGCAGGAGUAACACAACCUUACACUUGUUUCCAUAUUCUUGCCGGAAAUUUUCUAUUUUUUUUUUGCAUUUCCUGAUUUUUUUGUCGAUUUUGAUCAAUUUUUCAAUUGAUCCGCCAAUUACCGCAUCUU
rnacentral:misc_RNA from 1 species